AACGAACGCUGGCGGCAUGCCUAACACAUGCAAGUCGAACGAAGCCUUCGGGCUUAGUGGCGCACGGGUGCGUAACGCGUGGGAAUCUGCCCUUGGGUUCGGAAUAACAGUUAGAAAUGACUGCUAAUACCGGAUAAUGUCUUCGGACCAAAGAUUUAUCGCCCAGGGAUGAGCCCGCGUAGGAUUAGCUAGUUGGUGAGGUAAAGGCUCACCAAGGCGACGAUCCUUAGCUGGUCUGAGAGGAUGAUCAGCCACACUGGGACUGAGACACGGCCCAGACUCCUACGGGAGGCAGCAGUGGGGAAUAUUGGACAAUGGGCGAAAGCCUGAUCCAGCAAUGCCGCGUGAGUGAUGAAGGCCUUAGGGUUGUAAAGCUCUUUUACCCGGGAUGAUAAUGACAGUACCGGGAGAAUAAGCCCCCGGCUAACUCCGUGCCAGCAGCCGCGGUAAU
rnacentral:rRNA from 1 species